CCUACGGGUGGCUGCAGUGGGGAAUAUUGCACAAUGGGGGGAACCCUGAUGCAGCGACGCCGCGUGGGUGAGGAAGUACUUCGGUUUGUAAAGCCCUAUCAGCAGGGAAGAAAAUGACGGUACCUGACUAAGAAGCCCCGGCUAAUUACGUGCCAGCAGCCGCGGUAAUACGUAGGCGGCAAGCGUUAUCCGGAUUUACUGGGUGUAAAGGGAGCGUAGAUGGCGUGCCAAGCCUGGUGUGAAAGGCCGGGGCUCAACCCCGGGACUGCAUUUGAAACUGGCAUGCUGGAGUGCCGGAGGGGCAAGCGGAAUGCCUGGUGUAGCGGUGAAAUGCGUAGAUAUUAGGAGGAACUCCGAUUGCGAAGGCAGCUUACUAGACUGCCACUGACAUUGAUGCUCGAAAGUGUGGGUAGCAAACAGGAUUAGAUACCCUGGUAGUC
rnacentral:rRNA from 1 species